GGACUCCUAACAGCAGGAGCAGGGUUGUCUCUGACUCUGUUGCCUGCCUUUAGGAUCCUUUCCUC
rnacentral:miRNA from 14 species